rnacentral:rRNA from 1 species
CGUACAGGUCUCCGUAGGUGAACCUGCGGAGGGAUCAUUACACAAAUAUGAAGGCGGGCUGGAACCUCUCGGGGUUACAGCCUUGCUGAAUUAUUCACCCUUGUCUUUUGCGUACUUCUUGUUUCCUUGGUGGGUUCGCCCACCACUAGGACAAACAUAAACCUUUUGUAAUUGCAAUCAGCGUCAGUAACAAAUUAAUAAUUACAACUUUCAACAACGGAUCUCUUGGUUCUGGCAUCGAUGAAGAACGCAGCGAAAUGCGAUAAGUAGUGUGAAUUGCAGAAUUCAGUGAAUCAUCGAAUCUUUGAACGCACAUUGCGCCCUUGGUAUUCCAAAGGGCAUGCCUGUUCGAGCGUCAUUUGUACCCUCAAGCCUUGCUUGGUGUUGGGCGUCUUGUCUCUAGCUUUGCUGGAGACUCGCCUUAAAGUAAUUGGCAGCCGGCCUACUGGUUUCGGAGCGCAGCACAAGUCGCACUCUCUAUCAGCAAAGGUCUAGCAUCCAUUAAGCCUUUUUUCAACUUUUGACCUCGGAUCAGGUAGGGAUACCCGCUGAACUUAAGCAUAUC